AUUGAACGCUGGCGGCAGGCCUAACACAUGCAAGUCGAACGGUAACAGGAAGAAGCUUGCUUCUUUGCUGACGAGUGGCGGACGGGUGAGUAAUGUCUGGGAAACUGCCUGAUGGAGGGGGAUAACUACUGGAAACGGUAGCUAAUACCGCAUAACGUCGCAAGACCAAAGAGGGGGACCUUCGGGCCUCUUGCCAUCGGAUGUGCCCAGAUGGGAUUAGCUAGUAGGUGGGGUAACGGCUCACCUAGGCGACGAUCCCUAGCUGGUCUGAGAGGAUGACCAGCCACACUGAAACUGAGACACGGUCCAGACUCCUACGGGAGGCAGCAGUGGGGAAUAUUGCACAAUGGGCGCAAGCCUGAUGCAGCCAUGCCGCGUGUAUGAAGAAGGCCUUCGGGUUGUAAAGUACUUUCAGCGGGGAGGAAGGGAGUAAAGUUAAUACCUUUGCUCAUUGACGUUACCCGCAGAAGAAGCACCGGCUAACUCCGUG
rnacentral:rRNA from 1 species